CCUACGGGAGGCUGCAGUGGGGAAUAUUGCACAAUGGGGGAAACCCUGAUGCAGCGACGCCGCGUGAGUGAAGAAGUAUCUCGGUACGUAAAGCUCUAUCAGCAGGGAAGAAAAUGACGGUACCUGACUAAGAAGCCCCGGCUAACUACGUGCCAGCAGCCGCGGUAAUACGUAGGGGGCAAGCUUUAUCCGGAUUUACUGGGUGUAAAGGGAGCGUAGACGGCAGCACAAGUCUGGCUUGAAAUCCCGGGGCCUAACCCCGGAACUUCUUUGGAAACUGUGCGGCUGGAGUGCAGGAGGGGUAAGCGGAAUUCCUAGUGUAGCGGUGAAAUGCGUAGAUAUUAGGAGGAACACCAGUGGCGAAGGCGGCUUACUGGACUGUAACUGACGUUGAGGCUCGAAAGCGUGGGGAGCAAACAGGAUUAGAUACCCGAGUAGUC
rnacentral:rRNA from 1 species